AUAUGAGUGACAUAAUAAUCCAUUUGCAUGUAAAUCUACAAAUUAGACGGAUUAGUUCUUCGAACGCCCGUGGGACCGCUGCCACAAUGUACUAAAACCGCGCGUCGUUGCACACAUAAUCAUCUUCCUUGGAAUGAUCUCAAUCAUUAUCUCAUUUUCAGCACGCUUACCUGUCAUUAAAUCGUCUGUUUCCUUGUGGUAUAUAAGGAUGGUUGGCUAGAGUAGUAAGUCAUCGAUCAGUCUGCAGCUGAGUUUAUCUCUUGUGAUUUGAGCAGUAAGCUACCCGGAUAAAUAUGGCAAAACUCGUUAUCCUCUUCUCCGUGAUGAUGCUGGUAGCCCUGGCCGCCGCCGGCGACGACGCGACCACGCCCGCCGACCCCACCACCACCGUGGCCCCAAGCAACGAUACCGCGCCCGCUGCCGCCGACGCCGCUCUCGCCGCCGACGCCAACCAACCGCCUGACCAGAC